ACCCGGUUCUCGAGUUACAAAGCAGCCCUGGGCGCCCGCCCACUAUUUAUGCAAAAUAACACGCCUCUUUAUUAAUCCAGCCAAUGAUCAAACGGCAUCUCGCCCGGCAGGAGGUGGGGCCGAGGAAGGAAGCAAGCCGCAAACCUAGUUCCACACUCCUUGGCACGCUCCGCCUCUUCCUCGUGCCCUUCCUCCUCUGCGCUCCGCCCACAACCAGGCCCCUCCCACUCAGCUGGAGUCCGUACUCGCCCGGAAGAGGCGGGAAACUGGGAGGAGCCGGGGCCGGGGGAAGAGACGCUUGCGGUUUCUCAUUUACAUGCAGCCACCCUAUUGGCUUAGGCUGGCUGUGAUCGGAGAAAUUAGGGGCGGGGAGCUUGUCAAAGUGAGCUCCACGGAUUGGCUUAGCCUUACAAUGACGUAAAGAAGGCAGUUUAAGCAAAUGAGAGCGCAGGGCUAACUCACCUCCUCCCUCUCGCCCCACCUCUGUGUGAGCGACCCAGUGAAAGAGGAGCCCUUGAGGCACAUUCCCUAGUAGAUUUAAAUGACAAAUCUAGAAAGAAGCGGUUUAAAUAUUUAUGAAGAGGCGGAGAGGUGUAGAGUGUCUUCCGGAAACGCUUCUGAUUGGCUGGUGUUUUCAAGCAAGUGUUAGUUUUAUGAAACGUCUGCCACAGCCGACUGACAAGCUCCCGGCGGCCUGAGAAGUAGUAUGCAAAUUUUGGAUGAUUGACACCUACAGUAGAAACCAAUCAUGCCAAAGUAGGAUGCUGAUUGGUUGACAACAAUUUGACGUAAACCUCGACGUUUUAAAAACCUGACACCCAAUCCAGGCGAUUCAUGCAAAUAAAGGAAGGGAGUAACAUUACCAGGGGCCGGAGAGACUUGAGUACGACCCCACGUGUUCAGUGGUGGAUAUUGCACAGACGUCUGCAAGGUCUAAGUAAACGCUACAUAAUGUUCAACUCAAUUGCUUGCCUUGGCCUUUCCCAAACUUGUCACUGGAAUAUAAAUUAUCCCUUUUUUAAAAAUAAAAAAAUAAGAAUUA